CUUCGUCAUAUACAAUUUCAAUACUUCCACUGCGAAUUCACAGUUCGCAUAACCAUCGUUGUACACCGCGCCGUUCUUUUUCAGGCUGUGUCCGUUCCGUGUUCUUGCCGUGCCUCAGAUUUUAAAUGUAACGUUGAAUUUACACUACUUCACUUUGAAGGGACACAAGUUUAUACAUCAUCCACGCCGUGUCCGUUGGUCAUUAAUAGACACGACGUGUCCCGGAUGCAAUUGGUAGUUUGGUAAUCUUCAAUAUUCUUUCUGUUUGCCUAACACAGCACGGAUGGCCACAGCCAUCUCAACGUGUUUCGUCCGUGCAUAACGCUAUCUUUUGUAGCGAAGAACACUUGAUGCGAAGACUGCGUACCGCCUAAUUAUAUACAGUAUUCUUAUACUGUGUCACGCUGAAGAGAUUCGUAAAACUUCUGUCCGUGAUCUAUUAGUCGUUUGUAAAAAUUAAAUUCUCCUUUUUCUUUACGGUUCUUAUAACGGAUGUACGUUGAAUUGGCCUUUUAUUCUUUUGUCGCUUUACUUCUUCUUCCUCUUCUUCAUCCAAAAGUUAUUAGCUAUUAGUAAUAGCUAUCAUAGCUAACAAUAAGUUUUCAAUUGGAAAGAGGUACAUCUCGGAUGGUCCCCGAUGUAAAUAUUAACGCAUAAACAUCAGGACACGGAACGAAUGCAGAACGGAUAAGGAACGGAUACGGCUUGAUCGUGUAUAAAUGGAUUUUAAAUUAUCGUCUCCUGCGAAGUAUUGUCCUCCCAAAAACUCUCAAUUUUGUAGAAAAACAGUAACUGGCUCGUUUAAUGCGUCCAACAUUUUUAAUGAAAUCGCAGGCACUAUGCCUUAAGUUCUCUCCGCAGUAAUGAGAGGUUGGAAUGCUUACAAUCACAUCCUCUACAAUCACUGUCGUGCCAAUUAUUCAUAAUCCUAUCGUUGUAAACUGUUCUUUUUUUAAUUUCUUUUGCAUGAACGUUUUCUGCAUUCAAAAAGCGUAGCGGUGCGACAGUGCGGCCGCAUUUCACUUUCGGUGGGAUUUUCAAUUCGUAUCACUAGUUUUAACGUAUGAAACAACGACAGUAAUAAUUACUUAAACAUAAAAUUUGCUAUGAUUAACAUAUGAAUAAAGCUAGUUGAUCUUUUAGCAUAUGCCAUCUUUUUAUAUGGCUUCUAUGUACAUUACUACGUAUUCUAUGUGCAUUUUCAAGCUAAUUUUAAAGUGAAUUAAUAUGAUCAUGAUAGUCGUGUCACAUUACGAUGUUAAUAAAUUCUCGGAAUGUUUGAUAUAACAUACAAUAUUAUUCUCAAUAUACAAACUCUUGCGAGUCAGUAUAUUUACACUUGUACACUAAUGUACAGUGCUCACGAAAGUAUUCGAACACUCUUAGAAUCUUUGAAUAUACAGGGUAGUUGGUAACUGGUGGUACAAGCGGAAAGAGGGUGAUUCUACGCGAAAAAAGAAGUCGAAAAUAUGGAAUAAAAAUUUUUUCUUUUUUUUCUUAAUUUUUCCAUCGAGACAACGAUCUACAGUGAGAUCCGUUAUAACGUACCGCACGCGUACCGAGCGAAAAUUCAAAGUCGAUUUUCUCGAAAACAAAGCCUCAAACGAAAAAUUUUUAUUCUAUAUUUUCGGUUUGUUUUUUCGUGUAGAAUCACCCCCCUUCCGCUUGUACCACCAGUUACCAACCACCCUGUAUAUAUAUUAUACAAAACCACUGUGACAUCGUGGCUGACAUUUAAGAACACUUUUGUGAAAUGUUGAGUAUUUGCAAUCGACACAAAACUAUGGUUAGUUCUGCUGCUUUUAAUUGUUUAUACUGUUAUAAAAUGAUUUAAAAAUUAAAAAAAAGAAUUGAAUGAUCUUUCUGUCAACCUAAUAUAUAUUAUCAAUGUUUCUUAUAGCUCAGUCAAACAUUUCGUCCAAAACCAUAGUUUAAUUUUCAUGUUUUCAUGUUUGAAACUUGUAAAUGUAACAAAUUUUUGAGCAGUUCCAUCAACAUCAUUAUAAAAUUUCUUAUUAUGCGCAUUUGCAAAAAAGCUGCAGUUCUGUAUCGAUAUAAAUAUCAUAAAUAUACAUAUUAAUGUCUUAAAGCAUCUUAUAAAUUCGCAUAGGCUAACUAAAGAUUAGUAAAAAAGAUUGCUCUCUUUUACUAAUUUAAAAAGUGAUCAUCGUAAUUAGAAAGAUCGAUUAUCGAAAAAUGAUCGCGAACGAUCACGUCGUCCGGGGAAAAAUAUAGACAAAGGCAAGAAAGCGACAAAUUUAUACAUAGUACAUUUUUGUACUCCGUCAAAAUAUUUAUUAUAUGUUUAUAUUACAGUUUAUUACGUUACUAUCAAAAUAUUAUAAUUCCUUAAAUUAGAAUUGGUUACUAAUAUAUAAUAUAAUCUCAAGGCACAAACAAAAGCCUGUUAUAGGCUAUGGUUAAGAAGAUAAAUAUUCACUAAUUGUAAUAAUGACAUAUGUAGCGAAAUGAGAUAUAUACCCAUCGAACAGUUGCAGUUCGAUAAAGAAUAAAAAAUUAAGAGUGUAAUCGAACGUGUUUUUCAUUGAAUAAUCGUGAUUUCAUAAUAAAUAUUUUUAUUUACAUUGUAUUAUAUCAUUAAAAUAUACCUAUUCGUUAUAUAGUAAAACGUGUACAUAUGUCCCUACCAACACAACUAAUACGUCAAAUAAUAAUGAUAUAAUGACCAAGUCAUAAAAGAGUUAAAAUUGGAGAAAAUAAAUAAAAGCGUAGCUCAAAACUAUAUCAUCUGAUGAAACGACUGCAUUUCCUCAACCACGAUACUGCACGACUUCAUUACUACCGAGUCGAAAAUUAAUACCGACAAGAUAUUCGAUUGACAUCACUCAUAAUCAGUUUAACACUGAAAACCGAUCGGCUAGAUUGACUGACCCAUAGACUUAUGGUCUACAUAUGCAUCUAUGUUUUUACGUAUGCAUACCUAACAAUAAAUCACCAUACACUACCAAAGAACUAAAUUACCAAUCUGACUUGAUUACAACUUUAUAAUCAACCCGCGAAUUUAAAAAAGUGUAAGUAGAAAGAAAAAUAUUUUGUUCAAGUUUUUUUUAAUAUUUAACCGGUGGUCAAAUAAACGAUACCUUUUAUUGUAGAAAUGACUACGAAUAAAAUAAAAGAUUAAUUUAGAAGUACAAUGGUUUAUGAAAUAAAUCUUUCACCAGUUAAAAACAAGAAGGAAUGAAAUUCGUAUAUUUUUCAGUUGCGGAAAAUAACAGCUUUUUACGAAGGUAAUUUUUGUAAAAAUCGACAACUUUAAAAUGUUCCCUAUUCUCAUAUAGCAUAAUGUGAACAAAAUUAAACAUCCAGAAAAAAGAAGUCCGAUUGGAUUAGAUCGGAGUUCUACUUCGGAUAGGUUUUGAUUAAAUCUAGCAUCAAAUGCAACAUGAAAUAGUGUCGAAAAUUUAUUAUGAAGGCAUUUUGCAAAUGCAUGAAUUGUCAGAACUGAGAUUUCGUAUGUUUAUGUUCAGAGUAUCCUUUUUCACCUUUGGAUAGGGAAGAUAAAAUAUACGUGCAAGAAUUACUCAUAAUCCUCAUUACUUACAAAAGGUUCAUUACAUUGAAGAUAAUAUUCGUAGAAAUUUUAUUUGUUCUAUUUUCUACCUUAUCGCAAUUACUUAACAUAAAAAAUAAUUACAUAUUAUCUCGAUUAAUCACUUUAUUGAACUAAUAGAUCUAUUAAAAACAUCAUUCGUUUAACAAUAUCUAAAAACAUACAUUAUGUGAAUAACGGCGUUAAGAAACAAAAACACAUUUAGCAUUAUUUGCAAAAUAAUGUUUUUAUGUUUUGAAUAACAAUGUUUUCGAGCCCAAUGAUAAUUUUAAAUAAGGGGAAGUAAUAAUAUUACAAUUUCAUUCAAAACACUAUAUAUGUAUUUCAAUUUCUGAAUACAUAAAAUAAAAUAAAUUUUUUUGUAGUACUAAGAAAUAUCUGCUUCUAUCUGCAAUCUAUAUUAAAGUUUUACUAUAUUAUAGCUGAUUAUAGUAAAACUUUUUCAUAUAAAAAGAUUUCAUAUAAAUAUUUUCUAUGUUUUAUUCUUCUUCGAUCUAAUAUUAUGAAGGUUUAAAAAUUGAUUAUAAUUUUUUAUGCUUGCAAAUUUAACCUACAAUAGUAGAAUCUUGUCUUAAUAAAUUAGUUUUAAUUUCAAAUUCAUAAGCUAUAAUUAAUAAAAUAUGAUAAAUUUUAUAAUGAUAAGAUAAUUAAUAAAAUAUUAAAGAAACAAAUACAAAUGAUAUAAUAAAAAUAAAUUAUUUUAAAAAAACACUAAGAAAACUUUUGUGUAAGUAAUUUUAUACUUUGAUUUGUGUAUGCUAUUUGAUGUAUGCAUGUAAAUGUUAAAACUCACACGUAUAUAUGUAUAUAAUUACAGUUGAACUCCUUAUAUUAAAACUAUUAUUAUCAUUUUCUAAUAUUUAUUGUAUUUGUAGGUAAAGAUUAGUAUAAAAAAGGUUAUGCAUGGUUAUCCGAAAAUUUAUGACACUAUGAAAAUUUGGCGUAAUUGAAUGAAAUAUAUGUUAAACUAUAGCAAGUAAUUAUACAAUUAAACUGAAUAAUGGAACUUCUGCAAUCAAUAUAAGUUAUAUAUUCAUUCAUAUGUAUCUACUUACAUACAUGUAUCCAACAAGCCGUUUCGGUUUCAUGAAA